rnacentral:rRNA from 1 species
AUUGAACGCUGGCGGCAUGCCUUACACAUGCAAGUCGAACGGCAGCACGGGGCUUCGGCCUGGUGGCGAGUGGCGAACGGGUGAGUAAUGCGUCGGAACGUGCCGAGUAAUGGGGGAUAACGCUUCGAAAGGAGUGCUAAUACCGCAUACGCUCUGAGGAGGAAAGCGGGGGACCUUCGGGCCUCGCGUUAUUCGAGCGGCCGACGUCUGAUUAGCUAGUUGGUGAGGUAAAGGCUCACCAAGGCGACGAUCAGUAGCGGGUCUGAGAGGAUGAUCCGCCACACUGGGACUGAGACACGGCCCAGACUCCUACGGGAGGCAGCAGUGGGGAAUUUUUGGACAAUGGGGGAAACCCUGAUCCAGCCAUGCCGCGUGUCUGAAGAAGGCCUUCGGGUUGUAAAGGACUUUUGUCUGGGAGGAAAUCCCUAGCGUUAAUAGCGCUGGGGGAUGACAGUACCGGAAGAAUAAGCACCGGCUAACUACGUG